rnacentral:lncRNA from 1 species
UCAGUGCUUCCAUGCAGUGCUGAUCUGGAUAACGUGUGGGUGACAUAGGGAGCUGAUAAAGAGCUAUGUAGCGCUCUCUCUGAGCGUCAUCUCUAUAGGCCACAUGCAUAUCGUCGAAGUCCUGCAUCCUGUGAAAGUUAGAAAAAGGGGUCCUGAAAAUACAAACAUUUCAAAUAUUUAGUCUCGAUGAAAAUAUGAUAAAAAUAAA